GUGGGGAAUAUUGGUCAAUGGGCGAGAGCCUGAACCAGCCAAGUAGCGUGAAGGAUGACUGCCCUAUGGGUUGUAAACUUCUUUUGUCCAGGAAUAAAAAAUCCCUCGUGAGGGGUCUUGCAGGUACUGGUUGAAUAAGGACCGGCUAAUUCCGUGCCAGCAGCCGCGGUAAUACGGAAGGUCCGAGCGUUAUCCGGAUUUAUUGGGUUUAAAGGGUGCGUAGGCGGGGAAGCAAGUCAGCCGUAAAAUUGUUGAGCUCAACUCAAUCCCGCGGUUGAAACUGCCUCCCUUGAGUACACUAGAGGGCGAUGGAAUUCGUGGUGUAGCGGUGAAAUGCAUAGAUAUCACGAAGAACUCCGAUUGCGUAGGCAGUCGCCUGGGGUGCCACUGACGCUGAGGCACGAAGGUGCGGGUAUCAAACAGG
rnacentral:rRNA from 1 species